CUCUGCCGUUUCACACAUACGCACCUGGAUCAGAACUCUGCCCAGUGACACAAACGGAGUACUCAGUUCUGCUGUGAAGAUGCAUCCGACAAAGAAGUCUCCAAGUUCUCCUCGGAGCUUCUGUAGAGAGAAGAAAAAGAAACGAAGAUGUGGAGGGGGAAGAAGCCACUGGAAGGGAAAUCUAGGGCUAUAGGAAAAAGCUAACCAUGAGACCCUGAAGGGAGAAAAAUGUUAACAGGCAAGUGGCCAUCCAGUUCUGUCCUGUUGCUUCCCUGGCAACCACUUCUGGGGAGGAUCCAAAGGCAAAUGGAGAGAGGCUACAGCAGGCCUCCUCUGAUUUUAGAGACAGUAGGAAGGAACUCUGUAGCCUGCUUCUGUAUGUCAAAGACACUGAGCCUGUUCAACUUAACAAAUGUGCUAGAAGGCAAAGUCCUUACUGAAUGGCUCCUGGUUUUCUUCCUGAGAUAACAGUCUAGCUGAUGGAACACCUGCUCAAUAACAGGGAUAAGGAAACUUGGGGCAAAAGAGAUGGCAAUGACCUGUAAGUCCGGUGACCUAAGUUUGACCCACCUAUAGGACCUGUGUGAUGGAAGGAGAGAACUGACUCUUGCAAGUUGUCCCUUGGCCUCCACACUUGUCCCCAUACAUAUACACACAAAGUAAAUAAAUAAGAGAAUGAUAGAGUGCUGAAGUCCAUGCUUUAAUCAACACACAGAGGAAGAUUUCUAGAGGGUUGAGAAUAGACAGGGUCUAUACAGUGAGACCCUGUCUUAGGACAUAAAUAGGGCUGGAGAGAUGGCUCAGUGGUUAAGGGCACUUGCUGCUCUUCCAGAGAAUCAGAGUUUGAUUCCUAGCACCUGUGUCAAGGGAUCUGAUGCCAUUUCUGGCCUCCACAGGUAUUUGCACAUCCACAUGAGUAGAUAAUCUCUAAAAUAAAUAAUGUUGAGCCAGGUGGUGGUGGUGUCACUUUUAAUCCAAGCACUGAGGAAGUAGAGGCAGGCAGACCUCUGAGAUUGAGGCUAGCCUGGUUGUAUCUAGAGAGUGAGUUCCAGAACAGCCAACACAGAGAAACCAUGUCUUGAAAAACCAGAAAAAAAAAAAAAGCAAAGAAAAAAAAAAA
rnacentral:lncRNA from 1 species